CCCCGCCGUUGCGGGGAGGGAGGCGCGGUUGGAUGCCCAGAAGAGAGCCCCACGAACGAGGAAAUGGGCACCGCUGCCUGGAGACCCCCCCAAAACACAACUGUAGCACCCAAGUACGGCAAUGGCCUCCCAGCCAUUCAGCAAGUGCCCUAAAGACGAAGUCCGAAAGACUAGAAUCCAGCCACACUCCUCUCCACGAAUGAGCCUUGGGAGCCACCAGGAGGGAAGGAGAGAAAGACACCAAAUAAAUGACCACAACCACAGGUAGAAUUUACCUGUCCGUUCGCUUUGGAAGGCGACGAGGCCACAGCCGCCUCCCCAGGCCUCUCCGCGGCGGCUUCUCCCUUCGCUGCGGUCUUGGAGAACUGGGCACCCAUGCUGGCUUCUUCAACAAAGAAACUCAACAGAUCCAAGAGGGGAAACAAAGAGCCUCGGGUUGGUGUAACGACUGGGCGAGCAG
rnacentral:lncRNA from 1 species